ensembl:lncRNA
AGAGAGGGGAACGUGAGGCGGCCUCAAAACAAGAUGGGCCGCAUAUGAUAAAAUAAGGGAGUUGAUAUCCAGCCAGUGGUCCGCGAGAGCCAAUAACUAAUCAGUUGCGCCACUGUGAUUAAAAUCUGACCUGUUGAAGUCACGGAUGUCAUGAGUGAAUCUCAAAGAAAAGACCAGUGCAGAUGACACGGCGUAUUAUAUCCAACGUGUGAUAUCAUCAGGACAGCUCACAUAAGCCUGCAAAUCGAUGGAGGCGAUUGCAUCUAUGAAAUCCUUACAUUACCAGAUAAUCUGUGCUGACAAUCACUUCCAACCGUCCCUCUGAUCAACGCAUCCCCUCCAGCAGUCAGGCUGAUUGGUGCCGUUCACAUAGUUGUGUAAGUUUGUGCCACAACUGGAACAGUCAACACACAAACAUGAAAGCAGGAGUGUGUGACCCCCUUCAAUUAAUAGCUCUCUGUCAGUGAAG